AUGCUCGCUUCAGCAGCAUAAACACUACAACUGAACAAUACAGAGAAGAUUAGCAUGGCCUCAGUGCAAGGAUGAUAUGCAAAUUCAUGAAGCGUUCCAUACAAAA
ensembl:snRNA U6 U6 spliceosomal RNA